UACGUAGGGCGCAAGCGUUAUCCGGAAUUAUUGGGCGUAAAGAGCUCGUAGGCGGUUUGUCGCGUCUGCCGUGAAAGUCCGGGGCUCAACUCCGGAUCUGCGGUGGGUACGGGCAGACUAGAGUGAUGUAGGGGAGACUGGAAUUCCUGGUGUAGCGGUGAAAUGCGCAGAUAUCAGGAGGAACACCGGUGGCGAAGGCGGAUCUCUGGGCCAUUACUGACGCUGAGGAGCGAAAGCGUGGGGAGCGAACGG
rnacentral:rRNA from 1 species